rnacentral:rRNA from 1 species
AGCGUACACGGUGGAUGCCCUGGCAGUCAGAGGCGAUGAAGGACGUGCUAAUCUGCGAAAAGCGUCGGUAAGGUGAUAUGAACCGUUAUAACCGGCGAUGUCCGAAUGGGGAAACCCAGUGCAAUUCGUUGCACUAUCGUUAACUGAAUACAUAGGUUAACGAGGCGAACCGGGGGAACUGAAACAUCUAAGUACCCCGAGGAAAAGAAAUCAACCGAGAUUCCCCCAGUAGCGGCGAGCGAACGGGGAGCAGCCCAGAGUCUGAAUCAGCUUGUGUGUUAGUGGAACGGUCUGGAAAGUCCGACGGUACAGGGUGAUAGUCCCGUACACCAAAAUGCACAGGUUGUGAACUCGAAGAGUAGGGCGGGACACGUGGUAUCCUGUCUGAAUAUGGGGGGACCAUCCUCCAAGGCUAAAUACUCCUGACUGACCGAUAGUGAACCAGUACCGUGAGGGAAAGGCGAAAAGAACCCCGGCGAGGGGAGUGAAAAAGAACCUGAAACCGUGUACGUACAAGCAGUGGGAGCACCUUCGGGUGUGACUGCGUACCUUUUGUAUAAUGGGUCAGCGACUUAUAUUCUGUAGCAAGGUUAACCGUAUAGGGGAGCCGCAGGGAAACCGAGUCUUAACUGGGCGUUAAGUUGCAGGGUAUAGACCCGAAACCCGGUGAUCUAGCCAUGGGCAGGUUGAAGGUUGGGUAACACUAACUGGAGGACCGAACCGACUAAUGUUGAAAAAUUAGCGGAUGACUUGUGGCUGGGGGUGAAAGGCCAAUCAAACCGGGAGAUAGCUGGUUCUCCCCGAAAGCUAUUUAGGUAGCGCCUCGUGAACUCAUCUUCGGGGGUAGAGCACUGUUUCGGCUAGGGGGUCAUCCCGACUUACCAACCCGAUGCAAACUACGAAUACCGAAGAAUGUUAUCACGGGAGACACACGGCGGGUGCUAACGUCCGUCGUGAAGAGGGAAACAACCCAGACCGCCAGCUAAGGUCCCAAAGUCAUGGUUAAGUGGGAAACGAUGUGGGAAGGCACAGACAGCCAGGAUGUUGGCUUAGAAGCAGCCAUCAUUUAAAGAAAGCGUAAUAGCUCACUGGUCGAGUCGGCCUGCGCGGAAGAUGUAACGGGGCUAAACCAUGCACCGAAGCUGCGGCAGCGACACUAUGUGUUGUUGGGUAGGGGAGCGUUCUGUAAGCCUGCGAAGGUGUGCUGUGAGGCAUGCUGGAGGUAUCAGAAGUGCGAAUGCUGACAUAAGUAACGAUAAAGCGGGUGAAAAGCCCGCUCGCCGGAAGACCAAGGGUUCCUGUCCAACGUUAAUCGGGGCAGGGUGAGUCGACCCCUAAGGCGAGGCCGAAAGGCGUAGUCGAUGGGAAACAGGUUAAUAUUCCUGUACUUGGUGUUACUGCGAAGGGGGGACGGAGAAGGCUAUGUUAGCCGGGCGACGGUUGUCCCGGUUUAAGCAUGUAGGCUGGUUAUCCAGGCAAAUCCGGAUAAUCAAGGCUGAGGUGUGAUGACGAGGCACUACGGUGCUGAAGUAACAAAUGCCCUGCUUCCAGGAAAAGCCUCUAAGCAUCAGGUAACAUUAAAUCGUACCCCAAACCGACACAGGUGGUCAGGUAGAGAAUACCAAGGCGCUUGAGAGAACUCGGGUGAAGGAACUAGGCAAAAUGGUGCCGUAACUUCGGGAGAAGGCACGCUGGUGUGUAGGUGAAGCCCCUGCGGGUGGAGCUGAGACCAGUCGAAGAUACCAGCUGGCUGCAACUGUUUAUUAAAAACACAGCACUGUGCAAACACGAAAGUGGACGUAUACGGUGUGACGCCUGCCCGGUGCCGGAAGGUUAAUUGAUGGGGUUAUCCGUAAGGAGAAGCUCUUGAUCGAAGCCCCGGUAAACGGCGGCCGUAACUAUAACGGUCCUAAGGUAGCGAAAUUCCUUGUCGGGUAAGUUCCGACCUGCACGAAUGGCGUAAUGAUGGCCAGGCUGUCUCCACCCGAGACUCAGUGAAAUUGAACUCGCUGUGAAGAUGCAGUGUACCCGCGGCAAGACGGAAAGACCCCGUGAACCUUUACUAUAGCUUGACACUGAACAUUGAGCCUUGAUGUGUAGGAUAGGUGGGAGGCUUUGAAGCGUGGACGCCAGUCUGCGUGGAGCCAACCUUGAAAUACCACCCUUUAAUGUUUGAUGUUCUAACGUUGGCCCCUGACCGGGGUUGCGGACAGUGUCUGGUGGGUAGUUUGACUGGGGCGGUCUCCUCCCAAAGCGUAACGGAGGAGCACGAAGGUUAGCUAAUCCUGGUCGGACAUCAGGAGGUUAGUGCAAUGGCAUAAGCUAGCUUGACUGCGAGCGUGACGGCGCGAGCAGGUGCGAAAGCAGGUCAUAGUGAUCCGGUGGUUCUGAAUGGAAGGGCCAUCGCUCAACGGAUAAAAGGUACUCCGGGGAUAACAGGCUGAUACCGCCCAAGAGUUCAUAUCGACGGCGGUGUUUGGCACCUCGAUGUCGGCUCAUCACAUCCUGGGGCUGAAGUAGGUCCCAAGGGUAUGGCUGUUCGCCAUUUAAAGUGGUACGCGAGCUGGGUUUAGAACGUCGUGAGACAGUUCGGUCCCUAUCUGCCGUGGGCGCUGGAGAAUUGAGGGGGGCUGCUCCUAGUACGAGAGGACCGGAGUGGACGCAUCACUGGUGUUCGGGUUGUCAUGCCAAUGGCACUGCCCGGUAGCUAAAUGCGGAAGAGAUAAGUGCUGAAAGCAUCUAAGCACGAAACUUGCCCCGAGAUGAGUUCU